rnacentral:tRNA from 1 species
GCCGGGGUGGCUCAGCUGGUAAGAGCGCUGCACUCAUAAUGCAGAGGCCACGGGUUCAAACCCCGUCCCCGGCA